GACGAACGCUGGCGGCGUGCCUAACACAUGCAAGUCGAACGGCAAGGCCCUGCUUUUGUGCGGUGCUCGAGUGCCGAACGGGUGCGUAUCACGUGUGUAACCUGCCCUUGUCUUUGGGAUAACUUCAGGAAACUGGGGCUAAUAUCGGAUAGGAUCUCCUGCUGCAUGGUGGGGGUUGGAAAGUUUCGGCGGUUGGGGAUGGACUCGCGGCUUAGCGGCUUGUUGGUUGGGUAGUGGCUUACCAAGGCUUUGACGGGUAGCCGGCCUGGGAGGGUGACCGGGCACAUGGGGACUGAGGGAGGACCAAGAGGGCAACGGGGGGCAGCGGGGGGAAACAUGACACACAGAGCGGAAGCCGGAGACAACGACUCCGGGGGCGGAAAGACGGCCUGCGGGGAAUAAACCGCUUUAGCCUGUGACGAAGCGUGAGUGACGGUAAUGAGUGAAGAAGCACCGGCUAACUACGUG
rnacentral:rRNA from 1 species